AACACCUGUAUCUUUUCCCCCAAAAAUUUAAGCUAUCACCGACCGUUCCUAGAGCAACUGGCAAAGGACUUGAUGGUUGGUACUCGAGACCCAAGUUUGAAUCCUAGUUGAUUCAUAUUUUCAGCUAAAUUUAUUUCUAAAUAAAAUAAAUAAAGCGGCGUACUACCUAUCUCUAAAAAAAAAUAAUAAAUUAAGCUAUCAGAAAAUUAAUUAUUUAUAUUCCAACGAA
rnacentral:lncRNA from 1 species